rnacentral:rRNA from 1 species
GACGAACCGUGCGAACGUUGUUCGGAAUCACUGGGCUUAAAGGGCGCGUAGGCGGGCUGCCAAGUCCGUAGGUGAAAUCCUCCCGCUCAACGGGAGAACGGCCUCGGAUACUGGCGGCCUGGAGGGGGGUAGGGGCGUGCGGAACUGUGAGUGGAGCGGUGAAAUGCGUUGAGAUCCACAGGAACUCCGGUGGCGAAGGCGGCACGCUGGACCCUUUCUGACGCUGAGGCGCGAAAGCCAGGGGAGCGAACGGG